rnacentral:rRNA from 1 species
ACUCCUACGGGAGGCAGCAGUGGGGAAUUUUGGACAAUGGGCGCAAGCCUGAUCCAGCCAUGCCGCGUGCGGGAAGAAGGCCUUCGGGUUGUAAACCGCUUUUGUCAGGGAAGAAAUCCUUUGGGUUAAUAACUCGGAGGGAUGACGGUACCUGAAGAAUAAGCACCGGCUAACUACGUGCCAGCAGCCGCGGUAAUACGUAGGGUGCGAGCGUUAAUCGGAAUUACUGGGCGUAAAGCGUGCGCAGGCGGUUUUGAAAGUCAGAUGUGAAAUCCCCGAGCUCAACUUGGGAACUGCGUUUGAAACUCCAAAGCUAGAGUAUAGGAGAGGGGGGUAGAAUUCCACGUGUAGCAGUGAAAUGCGUAGAGAUGUGGAGGAAUACCAAUGGCGAAGGCAGCCCCCUGGCCUAAUACUGACGCUCAUGCACGAAAGCGUGGGGAGCAAACAGGAUUAGAUACCCUGGUAGUCCACGCCCUAAACGAUGUCUACUAGUUGUUGGUGGAGUAAAAUCCAUUAGUAACGCAGCUAACGCGUGAAGUAGACCGCCUGGGGAGUACGGUCGCAAGAUUAAAACUCAAAUGAAUUGACGGGGGCCCGCACAAGC